UACACACCGCCCGUCACACCAUGGGAGCGGGUUCUGCCAGAAGUAGUUAGCCUAACCGCAAGGAGGGCGAUUACCACGGCAGGUUCGUGACUGGGGUG
rnacentral:rRNA from 1 species